rnacentral:lncRNA from 1 species
UCGAGGGGUGUCAAUUCACUGAAAAAAAUAGCAUAGAUAAGUAGUAAUAUGUAUUUAUACUAUAUGUUGGUCAAAAAAUGUUAAUAUUCCUUCUAAUCUCAAAACCACUCUUUCAAGACAUGCAUAUAAGAUAAUUAGAGCACGGCACAUGUUUAGUAAUGAUACUAGGAUGGGCUUGGACCUUCCAAAAGUAUUCAUGAAAAUAUUGAACUGAAAAUAGAAAAGAAGAAACAUGGCUACAUACAUGCACAAAAUACAUCAAAAAUGAAGAAACUACGUACAAAGCAAAAUAUACAAAGAAGAGCACCUAUGAAGAUUGCAAAUCUCCAACACUUGCAGCAAGUUCCAUGACUUGUUUCAUAAGCGCUCAGGGUAGCAGAAGAAAUCAACAAAAACUCGUCUCUCUUCUUUUUGAUGUUUGUAAAUCUGUUUUAUGAUGAGGAUAUCAUUUAUUAGUUUCCAUCUUCAAGAAAUAUACAGCAUAAAAAGAGUGAUAACGUGUCUAAUACCAUAACAAGUACAGAGGAACAAUAUGAGAAACAGAACGGCACCAGAAAUUAGAGAUGGUGUCUACUAAGGGACAAAAUUAAGAAGACUUGAGCUGAAAGCUUACAUCUUUCUUCUUCAAGUGCUCACGGCUCACGUCUUCAAUGGCACGAGAUAGGUUCUUAUUGUAGUCUUCCAAUGUUGCUAGCUGCUUCAUUAGUGUCUAUACAGGGAAGGACACAAAUGAGAAGUAAGAGAAUAAAAUAUUCAAAUUAAACAGAAGGGACUGAAGUGCUCAGCGAGCAACCAUCCACAACUUUUGCACCCAAAAUGAGCAUUAUAACUUAUGUGACUAUUCAUAUAACUCAAAAGAGUUAGGUAAGCUAAGCAAUCAAGAAGAUAUAUUUUUCCAGGAAACAAAAGACUGGUACAUCAGUCCACCAAAAAAAAAGGGGCACUCAAUUAUGACCCAUACAUUAUGGAAAGGCAGAGCGUAAAAACUCCUACGUUAAGUAAACAGAUACUCCUAUUAAAAAGCAAGAUAUAUAAACCUCAAAAGCCUUUGAGCAUAUAGAAAGAGGGGGAAAAGACAAAUAGAAACCAUAUUUACAGAAAGCAAAGGGCAUAAUGGCAAAUAAUAUACCUGAGGUGUUAAAAUUGGUUGAGCAGUUGUUGAUGAAGCAAACAAUAAAUGCUGCAAACUUUGAAGAAGAGUGCACCUAAAAUAUGACGUAAGAAAGGUAUAAGUUGUUUUCACACCAUGACAGUUUUACAUCUCAAAUCCCCAUCAGUAUUGAUUUUAAAUUAAUGAAAUGCCAUAAAGAAGGAGUACAAGUCCGUGCAGAGAUAAUAAAAGCAAAAGCAAACUCGGAAUUCAGAUAACAUAUAUUUGUUUGAAGUAUAAAUUAAACAGGGAGACCUCAACCUACAAAACACAUCAUGAAAGGUAAAAGAAAUAUGGUUUAUGCAAAACGGGGUGAUUCUUAGCCACCCUUGCUACAUGGUGAUCUAAAGUAACUUUUAAAGAGAUUCCAGUAUAUAACCAGCCCCAAGAGAUUUCAACACAGUUCUCUUAAAAACUAUCCGGUCCAAAACUCCCAUCUUCCAUGAACAAUUACUACAAACACAUCCUCACGAAUUUUUCAAGACACUUCACAGCUACAUCCAAGGAAACUAAAAUAUGUUGACUGGAUCCUAGUUACAGGCCCUUGUAGUUCCAGCAAGUCAUCACUUGUAAAUGAAGACAUAGCUGACCACUUGUCACAAAAAAAGAAGAAGAAAGAGACACCUUAUACAAUUAUAAUGACCUAGAAACAGAUCAAUAUGCAGACAAAAGUACUAUUUGAUAGUUUUCAUUUUCCGUCUCAACACUGAUUCAUCAGAACUGUUGGCUUUUAAUAUAGAAAUUAAGAAAAUAACAGAGAAAAACUAUUGCAGUAUUGUCAAAGUGAAUUAUUUUAUUAAUAAUUCAGAGACCAAUAUUUAUAGAAAAAUAUGUUACUAACUUACCAAGUUAAAAAAAAAAAAAAACGAACUAACUUCUAAAUUCAAGUCACAUAAGACUCUGAUAACAUAAUUUUAAAACCCUAAAAUAGCUAACUGUUUUAUUUCUGCAAUAUCCUAAGACAUAUUCUCAACAAGGACUACACAUGGUGAUAAGUUGGUGUUCACUUAAGAUCAAAAACGAUAUAAAAACAUGGAUAAACCAAUGCGUUGGCAGCACUAUAUAGGUCCAUGUAAGAGCGUAUUGUGUAGAGAUCUUAUUCUAAAGCUUCAAAGCUCUUCCCAAUAUGAUUAAUAUUGUCAGAAUACGGGAGAGGAGUUAUAUAGAGACUGGUAUAAUUCGACAGAAAUGAGAACUUACAGUCUAUUUAUACAUUGAUCUCUAUCCUGAGGAAGAGUGUGUUCAAGGUCAUAUUGCAAAGACAUUAGAUCUGAAUGAAGGCUUGAUAUCUGUUGAACAAUGCCAGGUGACGAUACAUAUGUUGAUGGACCAGCUUGGAUAUCUGAAAAAUUAAUUAGUAUGAAUAAUAACCCAGAAAUGGUGAAGUAAUAAUUCAAUGUCCAAAUCCAUUACUUGAAUAUAAACUUAAAAGGUCUCUGAUGCCAUGAAGAAAUGUGUCGCGAUCAUCCACUGCUCCUUGUUCUUGAACAUCAGAUGCAGCUUGGAUCAGUGCCAUGCAUUGACCCUAAAAAUAAAAAAGUUGCAUGAGUGGACAAACAAGAAAGCAAAGAUAAAUAUUGCACUCCCACGUCCCAAUUAAAGCUGGAAAUUUUCUUUUAAGAGGCCUCAAAGGUAUAACCAUCCUGUGUCCAUAUUUCAAUAGCGUCCUACAUUGCCUCUUAAACAUGCAUCAACCGGUAACACCACCUUGACUUCCCAAGACUCUUACGAAAAAUCAAGCACUUCAAUCAACCACACCAGCUGACAAUCCUCAACCCCAAAUUAAUUGGGGUCAUCUAAAAAAAUCCUUUGUAUCUAUUCAACUAUCUUCAGCUACAUUUUAAAUUGUUCCAUAAAUGUCAAAUUUUAAGACCCACACAAAAACGUCAUUUUUAUAGCAAAUAAAAUUUUAAAACCAAAAUUCCAGCUUCAUAUCUUUAAUCGUUCAAUUUAUGAAAGUAAAAAGAUGUUUGGAUGGCUAAGGAAAUUAAGUAUGGAAAGUUGAAUAAGGCUUAAAAAGGAGGAGAAGGGACAAGCUGGUGAAGGUUCUUCAAGUUCAAUUCAAGUCUUGUGACAUGACUCAUUCUACGCAUAUACUUACCACUCUGCUUUUUGUUGCUGACAGGUAUCCAUGCAGCUCAGACUCAAUAACUUUAAGCAAUGAAAAUGCCCCAAGCAUGGUCUUCUUUUCCAACUGACAUGCUACUUUCAGAAAUUGAUG